rnacentral:sRNA from 1 species
UCCUUGUAUGAUGGCAUGCACUACAGCACACAAUUGCAUUCAGGAAGGCAGAAAAUUUGUACCUCCGACAGGGCCUGGGCCUUUGCUAAGAAAAAUAAUAAUCAAUCAUCGAAAUUCUCAAUCAUUUUGCGUCUAUCUUUAUUGAUAGCUUUGUCAUCUGCAGAAAAAAAAGGGCCUGUCAAAAGGGAAAAUGGGAAAGGAAUAAUCUCCCAAACAGUGUCUUGGAAAGGACCAUGGUUAAGGAAAACACUAAUCAUUUACAAACAAAACACAUAAUUGAGAGUAAUCCUAAAAUCAUAAUCAUAGAUUUGAAAGUUUGAACUCAGAUUUGAGUUGACAAAGUGAUUCCAGGCUGAGUGGAAGACAAAAACAGCCCAUCCUGCAUUGCCCUUUUUUCAGCAAGUCAAAAAGCAUGCUGAAAGCCCAACGAGAGAAGCAUGAAACCCCAUAGUCAAAGAAACUCUUAAUUCCCUGCAAUCAAAAGUAAACUUUGCAAAACUUUAUUGCUUCGUUAAGGUUGUACCCUGAAGGCUGUUGGGUUUUCAUUGUCAAAACCAAGGGUAUUUUUCUUUCCAAGGUACAACCACGAAAGCAGGGAGAUUUGGUCCUUGCUGCAUGCCAUUACAGUUGAAUAUUGACUAAGAAAACAAAUACAAGGGAACACCCCACCGUAUCCAUUAGGUCGUACAACACCAUGCACGCUCAUGCACCCCCUCUUUCUAUAUAAAGCCGUUGUUAGUAUUUCCAAAGGCCAAUGACCAACGAUUUCCCAAAUUAGUCAACUCUUCUCCUCCAUUUCUUUUUAGUACAAACCUGCCUUUUACUUCAAGUUCCAGCUAUUCUAAACUAAAUUCUCUCUGUCUCUCUUUCUGCCUUAUCUAGGGGUUCUCAGAGGCCUUGUUGCAGAGCCAAUUUGGCAUUCUGUCCACCUCCAUGAAUGCUUCAUGCAUGAUACCCCAGUUCAAAGUCAUAGAUCUUGGAGGCGGCCAGUAUGUCAAACAGGCUCUGUAAAUUUCUCUCUGAGAAACCCUAUGAGAUAUUAAUGAAGUACCCUUCUCUGUUAGAUGUUUGCUAAAGCUGGCUAGGAUUCUAUUUUCAAUUCUCUGUUCAGUUUUUCUAGUUGCUGCAACCUUAAAUGACAGUUCUGAAGCGCUUCAGGUAGAGCCCCGAGGAUGUUGGAAAUGCUACAAUUCCAACAAGGUCAAUUUUUGGUAGGAUUGGAGAGAGGUUGGAGUUUUCUGACCCGUGAGAAGUUCUGAUAGCUAGCUGUUUGUCACGAAUUCUACCAGUUUUGACAUGUAACUUUUGUCGAUUUGCUCCAUAUCUUGAGCUGCCUUUUUGCUUAUUUACAAGUCAACCAUCCACAAGAGUUUUAAAAAGCAGCCAUAUUUGCAUGCUUUGGAUUCCCAGAAGCACUAUGCUUGGAAAUGGUAUGUAUCCUAGACUUCCAUUUUUGCUCAAAGUAUGUGUUAGUGGAGGUUGCACCAUCACAUACAUCAAAAAUUACAGCAGUAGAAGGUUUGGGAAUUCCUGUCUUUUUCUAUACACAACGCCCAUUAUUUCUGCACUUGCAUUUCCAUGUUCCCCAUUGAAAAAAUUUUAAUGGAGAAAUCAUGAAAGUUUAAACUGUUUUUAACAAUUUUUCUUAGUUAAAAAUACAGGGUUUUUCUUUUUCUUUUAUUAAUAAAAAUUUACUUUUACUAAAUGAGUAAUAUAAAUCUUACAUUGAAAAAAUGUAGGACAUUUUCAUCUGCUUUCCUCUCUUUUUUAUAUCAAUUUCACUUGAAAAAUAUUGUUCUUUCUUUCUUGUGAGAUGACCUUUGAACCUUAUUUUGUAUAAUUGAUGAAUAUUGAUAUUUUUAUAAUUCAAAUAACAAAAAAAAUAUUUACGACAAUGUAUUCAAAUAAUAAAAAAAUGUUAGAUUUCUCAACAAAUAUUUCACACAAAAAAUGGUUUUCUUUCAAUAAAUUAUUUAUCGAUUACUAAUUGGAGGCUGAACAGAACGAAUUUUCAAAAAUCACUGGAUAGAUUUUACAUGUAUAGAGCUCCUUGCACCACAAACAUAUAUGAUUACUAGACAACAUGGAAUUCAAUGCUUAUGAUUGGGUUGGAAGGAGGAGAAGCAGAAAGAAAAAGGGGAAAACAAAAGAAAGUAAAGAAUGUUUGAGGAACGAGGACAUUGAAAACCCAACUUGCUGGCCUGUUGUGUUCCCUUUAGGCCGAAAGGUGACCCCUCUCAUCAACACCUUUAAUCAUCUGCCAUGCUUACCCUUUCCCUUCCAAUCCCAAGAAAGAAGGUCAGUCUCCUAUCAAAUCAGGUUCCAACAUCUUAAUCAUCGAUGUUUUGAUUCAAAUAUUGCAGUUUUAAAUAAACCAAUUCCUCGUUAAGUUCUUCCAUCAUCCUGGACCACCAUUUUCUCACCAACAAGAAGUAAUCUGGGUAAAAGGAAUUAACGGUGUAUAUACCUAUAAUAUCGUCGGCAUGAAAACUCUUCCCUUUGGUCUAGGCUUCCAGGUUGAUUGUUGGGACCCAAUCAAUAUCGUCUCCAACUGUAUAGGUGGUUGGUGCUGAAUGAGUGACCUCAUACUGAAGCAUUAAAAAGUAGCAUUGCUGGGGUUAGGACUGAGCUAACUCUGAUUGCCUUUCUCA